rnacentral:rRNA from 1 species
CUACCCGGGUAUCUAAUCCUGUUUGCUCCCCUAGCUUUCGUUCCUCAGCGUCAGUAGUGAUCCAGCGCGCCGCUUUCGCCACGGGUGUUCCUGCAGAUAUCUACGCAUUUCACCGCUACACCUGCAAUUCCACGCGCCUCUCUCACACUCGAGCACAGCAGUUUUGGAAGCAGCCUCUGGGUUAAGCCCAGAGAUUUCACUCCCAACUUGCCGCACCGCCUACGAACCCUUUACACCCAGUAAUUCCGAACAACGCUGGCCCCCUACGUCUUACCGCGGCUGCUGGCAC